UGUUCUGUGGCUUAGUUGGUUACAGCGUCGGUCUAGCAAAUACGGAGACGUUAGUUCGAAUCCCACCAGAACGC
rnacentral:tRNA from 1 species